rnacentral:tRNA from 1 species
AUUUAUAUAGUAUAAAAAUUAUAAUUAACUUCCAAUUAAAAGAUCUAAAUAAAUUUAGUAUAAAUA